GCCUUCGUGGUGUAAUGGUCAGCACACUGAGCCGGUAUUUCAGAGGUCCUUGGUUCGAUCCCCGGCGAAGGCA
rnacentral:tRNA from 1 species